GACGAACGCUGGCGGCGUGCUUAACACAUGCAAGUCGAACGGAAAGGCCCUGCUUGCAGGGUGCUCGAGUGGCGAACGGGUGAGUAACACGUGGGUGAUCUGCCCCUUACUUUGGGAUAAGCCUGGGAAACUGGGUCUAAUACUGUAUAGGACCAUGCUGUAGGUGGUGUGGUGGAAAGAUUAGUUUCGGUAAGGGAUGAGCUCGCGGCCUAUCAGCUUGUUGGUGGGGUAAUGGCCUACCAAGGCGUCGACGGGUAGCCGGCCUGAGAGGGUGGACGGCCACAUUGGGACUGAGAUACGGCCCAGACUCCUACGGGAGGCAGCAGUGGGGAAUAUUGCACAAUGGGCGCAAGCCUGAUGCAGCGACGCCGCGUGGGGGAUGACGGCCUUCGGGUUGUAAACUCCUUUCAGCCAUGACGAAGCCCUUGUGGUGACGGUAGUGGUAGAAGAAGCACCGGCUAACUACGUG
rnacentral:rRNA from 1 species